rnacentral:rRNA from 1 species
UACGAAGGGGGCUAGCGUUGCUCGGAAUUACUGGGCGUAAAGCGCACGUAGGCGGUUUGUUAAGUCGGGGGUGAAAUCCUGGAGCUCAACUCCAGAACUGCCUUCGAUACUGGCGAUCUCGAGUUCGGGAGAGGUGAGUGGAACUGCGAGUGUAGAGGUGAAAUUCGUAGAUAUUCGCAAGAACACCAGUGGCGAAGGCGGCUAACUGGUCCGGUUCUGACGCUGAGGCGCGAAAGCGUGGGGAGCAAACAGG